AGAGUUUGAUUCUGGCUCAGAACGAACGCUGGCGGCAGGCUUAACACAUGCAAGUCGAACGAUAUAGUGGCAGACGGGUGAGUAACGCGUGGAAACGUGCCUUUCACUACGGAAUAGCUUUUGGAAACGAAAGGUAGUACCGUAUACGCCCUCCGGGGGAAAGAUUUAUCGGUGAAAGAUCGGUCCGCGUUAGAUUAGGUAGUUGGUGGGGUAAUGGCCUACCAAGCCUACGAUUUAUAGCCGGUCUGAGAGGAUGAUCAGCCACACUGGGACUGAGACACGGCCCAGACUCCUACGGGAGGCAGCAGUGGGGAAUAUUGCACAAUGGGCGCAAGCCUGAUGCAGCCAUGCCGCGUGAAUGAUGAAGGUCUUAGGGUUGUAAAAUUCUUUCGCUAGGGAUGAUAAUGACAGUACCUAGUAAAGAAGCCCCGGCUAACUUCGUGCCAGCAGCCGCGGUAAUACGAAGGGGGCUAGCGUUGUUCGGAAUUACUGGGCGUAAAGCGCACGUAGGCGGAUUUUUAAGUCGGAUGUGAAAUCCCAAGGCUCAACCUUGGAACUGCAUUUGAAACUGGAAGUCUAGAGAUCAGGAGAGGUUAGUGGAAUACCGAGUGUAGAGGUGAAAUUCGUAGAUAUUCGGUGGAACACCAGUGGCGAAGGCGACUAACUGGACUGAUACUGACGCUGAGGUGCGAAAGUGUGGGGAGCAAACAGGAUUAGAUACCCUGGUAGUCCACACCGUAAACGAUGAGAGCUAGUUGUCUGCAGGCAUGCCUGUAGGUGACGCAGCUAACGCAUUAAGCUCUCCGCCUGGGGAGUACGGCCGCAAGGUUAAAACUCAAAGAAAUUGACGGGGGCCCGCACAAGCGGUGGAGCAUGUGGUUUAAUUCGACGCAACGCGCAGAACCUUACCUACGCUUGACAUGCCUGGACGACUCCGAGAGAUCGGUUUCUCCCUUCGGGGCCAGUGCACAGGUGCUGCAUGGCUGUCGUCAGCUCGUGUCGUGAGAUGUUGGGUUAAGUCCCGCAACGAGCGCAACCCUCAUCCUUAGUUGCCAUCACGUUUGGGUGGGCACUCUAGGGAAACUGCCGGUGCUAAGCCGGAGGAAGGCGGGGAUGACGUCAAGUCCUCAUGGCCCUUACGCGUAGGGCUACACACGUGCUACAAUGGCAGUGACAAUGGGAUAAUCCCCAAAAGCUGUCUCAGUUCGGAUUGUCGGCUGCAACUCGCCGGCAUGAAGUUGGAAUCGCUAGUAAUCGUGGAUCAGCAUGCCACGGUGAAUACGUUCCCGGGCCUUGUACACACCGCCCGUCACACCAUGGGAGUUGGAUCUACCCGAAGAUUGUGAGCUAACUUCGGAGGCAGCAAGCCACGGUAGGUUCAGCGACUGGGGUGAAGUCGGAACAAGGUA
rnacentral:rRNA from 1 species